rnacentral:rRNA from 1 species
CCUACGGGAGGCAGCAGUAGGGAAUCUUCGGCAAUGGGCGAAAGCCUGACCGAGCAACGCCGCGUGAGCGAUGAAGGCCUUCGGGUCGUAAAGCUCUGUUGUUAGAGAAGAACAAGUACGAGAGUAACUGCUCGUACCUGACGUACUACCAGAAG